rnacentral:pre_miRNA from 1 species
GAUUUCAUCUAAAAAAGUCAUCAAUAACAAAGUUGUAUAACUCAUCAAGAUCUAUAACUUCUGUUUUGGUAAUUUCUUCAUCCGACAAAGUGAUUUACAAGAUUGUUCACAAAAUGUACAUCUCUUGUAUAAUAACUUCUAUUUUGGUUAUUUCUUCAUCAGACAAAGUGAUUUGCAAGAUUGUUCACAAAAUGUAUAUCUCUUGUAUAUUCAUCCGACAAAGUGCUUUGCAAGAUUGUUCACAAAAUGUACAUGUACAUUUUGUGAACAAUCUUGCAAAUCACUUUGUCGGAUGAAGAAAUGACCAAAAAUAUAGAAGUUAUAGAUAUUGAUGAGUUAUACAACUUUUUUAUUGAUGACUUUUUCAGUUGAAAUC